AUACGGAGGGAGCGAGCGUUAAUCGGAAUUACUGGGCGUAAAGCGCGCGUAGGCGGCUUUGUAAGUCGGAUGUGAAAGCCCAGGGCGCAACCCUGGAAUUGCAUUCGAUACUGCACGGCUAGAGUAUGGUAGAGGGAAGUGGAAUUUCCGGUGUAGCGGUGAAAUGCGUAGAUAUCAGAAGGAACACCAGUGGCGAAGGCGACUUCCUGGGCCAAUACUGACGCUGAGGUGCGAAAGCGUGGGGAGCAAACAGGAUUAGAAACCCCAGUAGUCC
rnacentral:rRNA from 1 species